UACGUAGGUGGCAAGCGUUGUCCGGAUUUACUGGGCGUAAAGAGCGCGCAGGCGGUCGGAUAAGUCGAAUGUGAAAGCCCCCGGCUCAACUGGGGAGGGUCAUUCGAUACUGCUCGACUCGAAGGCAGGAGAGGGAAGUGGAAUUCCCGGUGUAGUGGUGAAAUGCGUAGAUAUCGGGAGGAACAUCAGUGGCGAAAGCGACUUCCUGGACCAGAACUGACGAUCAGGCACGAAAGCGUGGGGAGCAAACAGG
rnacentral:rRNA from 1 species